GAUGAAGAACGUAGCGAAAUGCGAUACUUGGUGUGAAUUGCAGAAUCCCGUGAACCAUCGAGUCUUUGAACGCAAGUUGCGCCCGAAGCCAUUAGGCCGAGGGCACGCCUGCCUGGGCGUCACACGUCGUUGCCCCCCCAUCUACUCCUUCGGGAUUGCGGGGGGCGGAUGAUGGCCUCUCGUGCGCCUCGUCGCGCGGUUGGCCUUAAUGCCAAGUCCUCGGCGACGCACGCCACGACAAUCGGUGGUUGCGAAACCUCGGUUGCCUGUCGUGUGCGGUCGUCGCGCAUCGAGGGCUCGAAAAAAUUGCCGGGCUUCGGCUCGACUUUCAACGCGACCCCAGGUCAGGCGGGGUUACCCGCUGAAUUUAAGCAUAUCAAUAAGCGGAGGA
rnacentral:misc_RNA from 1 species